GCCAUGUUGAGAGCUAGUUAAUAAUAAAUAGUUUGCCCUGGCUUAAAAGUUAUAAACACUUUAAAAAUUAUGUGAAAUGUCAUACACAUUAUGAGCACUAUAAACUUUGACGACUAUGAGAAAUCAACUUGGCCACCAGACAGGAAUCCACCAAUUUCGACAACCAGCUGGGUCAUCAUAUUGGUAGUCAGUCUCUUUUGGUGCUUGUGCUGCAUUCCAUUCAUGAUUUGGAUCUUCUGGCGAAUGGGAUUCUGUACGAGUGAGCAACAUUAUGUCUGAUUAAAUGUGAUAACCUGAACAAAAUGGAUUCAAUACUGUAAAAAUGUUGAAUGUAAUAUGAAAUCAACAUCUUGCAAGUUAUCAAAGAAUGUUCAAUUGGACAAUUUUGGAAUAUUCUAUGAUAAAAUGCACAGAUAAUUUGUUUUGCAUGAAUAUACUAAUUUCGGUUUAUGAUCUAAGCUAAAUACAGUAAUCUCGUGAAAUUGAUAAAUAUAUUUAACAUAUAUAUAAUGCCAUGAUUUUGUCUUCAGUUUUUAAAAUUGUUGUUGUUGAAAAAUCAUAAAAUGUUUAAAGAAAUUAAUCGAACUUUGCGUCCUGAUGACGAUAAAGUUCAUACUAUUUCCGAAAUAAAUUUUAUUAUAAUCAUAGCGAUUUGCUUAUUUUGGUGCUUUUGCUUUAUUCCUUUUUGCAUCUGGUGUAUUUGGAGACUGGGUCUUUGUUCUAUCCAUGAGCAAUAGGAGCACAGUAUGUGUAAAUAAAAUUGGAAAACUAAAUUUCACGUUUAGUUUUCUUUUUUUGUAUUGAUACCAAAUGUUUUUGAUACAAUUGGAUAAAUCAAUAUGAAAGCCAAAGUCAAGGUCUUCAAUAAUUUACAUGAUUUUUAAACUGAAAAUAUUGUAUAUUGUUUUCAAUCGACGAUAAAAGACAUUGAUUUUAUAAUGUAACAGCAUAUACUGUAUUUGAGUGUGCUCGAUUAUGACAUAGAAAUAGAAAAAAUAUAUUAUAAUCU